UACGGAGGGGGCUAGCGCUGUUCGGAAUUACUGGGCGUAAAGCGCGCGUAGGCGGACCCGCAAGUCGGGGGUGAAAGCCCGAGGCUCAACCUCGGAACUGCCUUCGAUACUGCGGGUCUCGAGUCCGGGAGAGGUGAGUGGAAUUCCUAGUGUAGAGGUGAAAUUCGUAGAUAUUAGGAAGAACACCAGUGGCGAAGGCGGCUCACUGGCCCGGUACUGACGCUGAGGCGCGAAAGCGUGGGGAGCAAACAGG
rnacentral:rRNA from 1 species